rnacentral:lncRNA from 1 species
GCCACACCAUACUAAUUAAAACUCCAAAAGGCACACAACGAGAGCAUACUGAAGGAAGAGAAGGUGAAAUCUAUAAGCAAACACAGAUUUUUCAUUCUCAAUUCAUGAUUUGAAUUACACCUCAAGUGAUAUCCGUAAAGGUCAAAAUAUACAUGGAAAAAAAUAAAACAAGGAGAGGGUGAGAGUUAGCAACCUCAGCAACAACAGUAGCAGAAAAUGAGCUUCAGAUUCAACACCCAGAUAUUGAAAUUAGCCCAGAAACCAAUGGAAUACCCGCUUGUUCAAUAAAUUUCAACACCCAACUUGAACACCAAACUUAGUUCCCUUUGAGUACUCAACAGAACCCAAAGAUGAUUCAACAAAGGGGAAAUUUGAAAAGCAGGACUUGGGAAGUCAAUGAAAUAGUAAACUAGGGUUCAUUUCAAAGCUGGAAAGAAAUUACCUAGCCUACUCAAUGUAAUAGUGACCUUUAUUUCCUCAAAUUUUUUAUUUCAAUAUUUUCUCUCAGAUUUUCAGAAUGUCCCGGCUUUC